rnacentral:rRNA from 1 species
GACGAACGCUGGCGGCGUGCUUAACACAUGCAAGUCGAACGGAAAGGCCCUGCUUUUGUGGGGUGCUCGAGUGGCGAACGGGUGAGUAACACGUGAGUAACCUGCCCUUGACUUUGGGAUAACUUCAGGAAACUGGGGCUAAUACCGGAUAGGAGCUCCUGCUGCAUGGUGGGGGUUGGAAAGUUUCGGCGGUUUGGGAUGGACUCGCGGCUUAUCAGCUUGUUGGUGGGGGAGUGGCUUACCAAGGCUUUGACGGGUAGCCGGCCUGGGAGGGUGACCGGCCACAUUGGGACUGAGAUACGGCCCAGACUCCUACGGGAGGCAGCAGUGGGGAAUCUUGCACACUGGGCGGAAGCCUGAUGCAGCAACGCCGCGUGCGGGAUGACGGCCUUCGGGUUGUAAACCGCUUUCGCCUGUGACGAAGCGUGAGUGACGGUAAUGGGUAAAGAAGCACCGGCUAACUACGUG